AAUAAAGUUAGCGUCUUUACCGGAGUCUGAGAGAGAAAGACAAGAGAAACAUUCAAACAUGAGACCAGAAGUUGCCGGGUGUUAUUACGACGAAGAGAAGAAGAGAUAUUUCCCCUUUUUGGGCCGUUCAAAAUUUUCUUCUUUUUCUUCAAUUACGAAACGAAGUCACGACUCAAAGCCUGUCCAGGAAUCUAACUAUCAGAAGAGAACCAAACUAAAAGCAUUGACGCUACUUUCUUCCCGAGAGU